rnacentral:rRNA from 1 species
UACGGGGGGGGCAAGCGUUGUUCGGAAUUACUGGGCGUAAAGGGCUCGUAGGCGGCCAACUAAGUCAAACGUGAAAUCCCUCGGCUUAACCGGGGAACUGCGUCUGAUACUGGAUGGCUUGAGUUUGGGAGAGGGAUGCGGAAUUCCAGGUGUAGCGGUGAAAUGCGUAGAUAUCUGGAGGAACACCGGUGGCGAAGGCGGCAUCCUGGACCGGUAUUGACGCUGAGGAGCGAAAGCCAGGGGAGCAAACGGG